AGAUUUUGGCGCUUUUUUAAAAUUUACGUUAGAAAUACUAAAUAAAACAAACAAAACCUAUGCCCUGUUCGUUUUCCUGUCGCUGGAUCCAGCGACAGCGACCAACGACCAGCGACAGCAACCAGCGACAACAUAUAUUGUUCGAUUGUCUGUCGCUGGACUCAGCGACCAAUUACAUCAACAAUCGCUAAUAAUUGUCGUUGUGUUGUUCGUUUGACUGUCGCUAUAAACAGUCGCUAUAUUUUUUUUUAAAAUU
rnacentral:sRNA from 1 species